CAGUUAACGGGACCGCCAGCAAGGGACAGCUCGCGCGCGGGUCAUAAUCAGCGUCCUUUUCUUUUUAAAUUUAACCGACCGACCAUUAAAUUCGGUUAAAGGAGAAACUGAGAGUAAACUGACGUCGCUGAAUUAACGGGGAGGAAAACAGCCGGCUCUGUAAUUCCUCGGGUACAUCUGGGUGACGUUUUCCCCGAGGUCAUGACUAAGUUUGACUCUUCAAGUUAAGACUGUCUAAAGGAAAACCUCCACAAUACCGGUAUUUGACUUAUAAAAAAAUCUUUUAACAACUCUGGGGCUGCAUGAGACAUCCAAAGAGGUACACCACAAACGACUGGCAGUGUCUUAAAAAAGAAGGUCCUACAGCAAAGGGAUGCAAAACAGACAUAUGACAUCUCAGUAAAGAGAACUGAAAAACCAGCAGACUCUUUCACUCAAUUU